GACGGAGGGUGCAAGCGUUAUUCGGAAUUAUUGGGCGUAAAGAGCGUGUAGGCGGCCGGUUAAGUCAGGUGUGAAAGCCCGGGGCUCAACCUCGGAAGUGCACUUGAUACUGGUCGGCUUGAGUUCGGGAGAGGGAGGCGGAAUUCCUGGUGUAGAGGUGAAAUUCGUAGAUAUCAGGAGGAACAUCGGUGGCGAAGGCGGCUUCCUGGACCGAAACUGACGCUGAGACGCGAAAGCGUGGGGAGCAAACAGG
rnacentral:rRNA from 1 species